rnacentral:misc_RNA from 1 species
CUUUGUUGAAAAAAUUAAUGUAAACAGACCACAGGUUCGCUUUACUUUUGGGCUGCCCAUUUGGCUGGACCCAGGUGGGGGCCAUUUGCAUCCUGGUGCUGUGCAUGGCUCGAGACCAUUGGUGUAAUUUCUGGGAUUGGUGCCCAGGCAUAUUCAGGAUCACAGGCACUACAGAUGAUCAUACUUCUGUCCACGGGAACCAACAAGGGUGGAGGCUAUUUUGCUUCAAGGAG